GAUGCUUCAGCAUCUGACUAUAGGCAGAAAAUAAAUGUCAAAGAGUUUGAGUUUUGGACCGGGUGUGCCUUAUCAUGUGUUAUGUCCAAAUGUCUCUAUUCAAAGCUUUAAAUAUAAAGAAAUAUUUACAUGUUGUUGAGUGAAUGCAUGCAUGGUCUAACAUACAUUUAAAUGACUUAUCACUCACUGUGUAAAUUAGGCUUCUUGAGACAAGAACACUGCAUAUGCAGUGCAUGCUAUGUCUAGAUACAAACAUGAGAAGACAUUGCUAAAAAAUAACUGCUACAUUAUAUGGCUGUAAGUGCCGGGUGAAUGUAUGGUCCGUCUUGUGUGCUUCUGGUAUUUGUGGGUUGAAAGCUCUAAUACCACUCGGCAUGCCUGCUGUUUUGAGGGAGGAGGCUUCUUCUGAAACAGAUAGCUAGCACCCCUCCCUCUGUCCCUGGCUCCUCUCUCACCCCUCCCAAGCCAAAGGCUCAAGCAGGUGACCCGUUAAGCCGGGGUCAGUUUUCAGCACCAUCUCAAGAGGGAAUCCCAGCCUAUCCCUUUUUUCCACGCUGCCUGAAGCUACCACCCGACACCAGGAUCCACAGACAUAGCAGCACCACAGAAGCAACAACACUCUCACACUCGGUUCACACACACUACUCGCUCGCUAGACUGGACACACACAGAGUAGGGACACUGCCACAGGCACACUAGGUCACACACACAGACUGUUGGUUCACACAUAGCUUGCUCGCUGUGCUGGACACACACACAGGGUAGGGAUGUCUUCGAGCCUGGUGACACACAAAGAGCAGGGAUGUCUUCCAGCCCUCGACCUAACAUGGAGUUCCAAGCUCUCCACCAGGCCCAUCGGAACCGCUGUAAGAACACAGAUGCGUACAUGUGUCGCCACAGCCUGUCCUUCCAUCUGCACCACACCCUGAGGACUGAAUUAUUUGCCAGCUUCCUGUACCUGCUGGAGCAGAUCCCCCUGGGUGGCCAUGGAAAUCCCACUCCUGGAACUCUGCCCAGUCAGUCAAGUAGAGAAGCAGUUCUAGUACAAAGCGCAGAAGUUCUACGAGGACGUGGAGCCGUCAGAGGGAAUGAUGGGAGAUUUCAUUGAGAUCUCCCACGUCGACCUAGAAGGCUCCAGGAACUUUCUGAGCAGGUUUACUGUAAGUCUACUAAAGAACACGUGUCACUGAAAUGACACUUCUAGCUUGGAUUAUUAUUUUUUAUUUUAUUUUUUUGCCUUUAUUGAAUACUCUAUUGUAGUGAAUGCUGUAUUCGUGCACACAACAGAGCUUAUAUGUGUCACAGAACCCAAGAUGAUAUUUCUACUGUUAUCUGUGUAUUGCAUGAAAUGCAUAAUCUUUCUGGUAUAAAAAUAUCUUCUCCCAUGAGCCAAACCUUUUGUCAUCUACAAAGGUGGACGCACCUUCGCCCAAAACACAUUAUGUACUGUAGCUAAUGGUCAUCUUGACCACCUGCCAGACCAGCUGUAUAAUAAUACGUGCCCAGAUCCCAGAUGUUAAUCCCCAUGUACCCUGUGUAAAUGUUACACUCGUCUACAUUCAGUAUGCAUGGUCUUAGAGUGUGUGUGUGCGUGUACUUACAUGAAUGUUAAUGGGAAUGUGUGUGACAUGGAAACAGGUCUAUUUAUAGUGUCAUCUGGUGUAUUUCUCAUUGUGAUCUGCUGGGAUUUGGGGGUUAAAGGAAGUAGAGAAUACAUGGGGCGGACUUUGUGAGCCUAAUGUUAACACACUCAUACCAAUUUUACGCAGCACCUAAGAUAUCACUGCUACUGUCCAGUAUACUGCUACCGUACAUGACAGAUAGAGGAUACUGUCCAUUGUGAUGAUCUGGCCUACACCUGUCUACUGUACCUUUUGUUGCCAGCAGAGUUCUAUACUGAUUCCAGGAGAAGACUAUAAUAAUCUGCAAACAAUGUUUACAUUUCAUUUGUUACAUUUAAAGGAGCAAUCAAUUUUGGAUGUAUAAAUUAAUAUUUACCCAUUGAUUCUUGAAUAUUAUAACUUAGAAAUGCCUCAUGAGCUUCGUUCAACCAUCAGAACCCAAAAUAUAAUCUUGUUUAACUCCAAUGUUUGUAAACAAAGUAAUUGUAAACAAACACUGAAAGCCCUCAAAACAUGAUUUAAACUAUAAUUUUGAUAUCAUGGAUGGCCAGUCCUUGCAUCCAUAGCUCUGUCUUUGAAUUUGAAUGUGGUUACAUUUCUCCAGCCCCAUCCUCCCCACUUUUUACCGAAACAGUGGUGGGAGUAAUCUUUCUUAUUUUUUUUAACUGCUGAUUGCCGCUUUAAUCAGUCACUAGAAAAAUCUAGGCAAAGCAGGGUGACUUUGACAAUGAUGCUUUUAGGUAACAGACUCGCUGUUUCCAUUCAGUAAUCAGACUAGUGAUGUCAGAUGUCCUCACACAAAUGCCACACUGCUUUGUCCAAAUGUCAAAAGUCCUGCAGAUGACUGAUAUAGCGUUACUUACACAACACACUGUCUCAAUUUACACAUCAUGCAUAGGGCUGUGGCGGUCAUAAAACUUUGUCAGCCAGUGAUUGUCAAGCAAAUAACUGCCGGUCUCAUGGUAAUUGACUGUUAAUUAACAAACACAUUUAGCAUCU